rnacentral:misc_RNA from 1 species
GAAAUGCGAUACGUAGUGCGAAUUGCAGGAUGUAAGCGAGUCAUCGAAUCUUUGAACGCAUAUUGCGCCCGAGGCUCCGGCCGAGGGCAUGUCUGCCUGAGCGUCAGCCGAUACCCUCAACUCCACCUUCUGGGCGGACGUUGGAGCUGGCCGUCCCGCGGGACCGAUUCGUCGGUCGAGCGGGUCGGCUGAAGCGCAGUGGCGCGCCUCGCCCCCGGCUCUUCUCUUCGGGAAGAGGCGGUUCGGACUAUCCGUCGUGGUAAGUGGGAUUCUUCCCGCACCUCUUCCGACGGGUGUUCCGGUAAUCCGGGCGCGGCGUCAGCCGGCGGGAGCCCUCUUUCGCUCCCGCCCCCCACUCUUCACCUUUUGACCUCAGAUCAGGCAAGGCUACCCGCCGAAU